UACGUAGGGCGCAAGCGUUGUCCGGAAUCACUGGGCGUAAAGGGCGCGUAGGCGGCCUGAUAAGUAGGGGGUGAAAUCCUGCGGCUUAACCGCAGGGCUGCCUUCUAAACUGUCAGGCUCGAGCACAGUAGAGGCAGGUGGAAUUCCCGGUGUAGCGGUGGAAUGCGUAGAGAUCGGGAAGAACAUCAGUGGCGAAGGCGGCCUGCUGGGCUGUUGCUGACGCUGAGGCGCGACAGCGUGGGGAGCAAACAGG
rnacentral:rRNA from 1 species